CAGUAGCCACGGGAAUACGGAGGGAGCUAGCGUUGUUCGGAAUUACUGGGCGUAAAGCGCGCGUAGGCGGUUACUCAAGUCAGAGGUGAAAGCCCGGGGCUCAACCCCGGAACUGCCUUUGAAACUAGGUGACUAGAAUCUUGGAGAGGUCAGUGGAAUUCCGAGUGUAGAGGUGAAAUUCGUAGAUAUUCGGAAGAACACCAGUGGCGAAGGCGACUGACUGGACAAGUAUUGACGCUGAGGUGCGAAAGCGUGGGGAGCAAACAGGAUUAGAUACCCCAGUAGUCCCUGUCUCUUAUAC
rnacentral:rRNA from 1 species